rnacentral:rRNA from 1 species
GACGAACGCUGGCGGCGUGCUUAACACAUGCAAGUCGAACGGAAAGGCCCUGCUUUUGUGGGGUGCUCGAGUGGCGAACGGGUGAGUAACACGUGAGUAACCUGCCCUUGACUUUGGGAUAACUUCAGGAAACUGGGGCUAAUACCGGAUAGGAGCUCCUGCUGCAUGGUGGGGGUUGGAAAGUUUCGGCGGUUGGGGAUGGACUCGCGGCUUAUCAGCUUGUUGGUGGGGUAGUGGCUUACCAAGGCUUUGACGGGUAGCCGGCCUGAGAGGGUGACCGGCCACAUUGGGACUAAGAGACGGCGCAGACGCCUACGGGAGGCAGCAGUGGGGAAUAUUGCACAGUGGGCGGAAGCCUGAUGCAGCAACGCCGCGUGCGGGAUGACGGCCUUCGGGUUGUAAACCGCUUUCGCCUGUGACGAAGCGUGAGUGACGGUAAUGGGUAAAGAAGCACCGGCUAACUACGUG